rnacentral:lncRNA from 1 species
AGAAUGAAGAAUGCUCGAGCUGAUGUACUUUUCCAACUUAUAACUACUUCAUUCAACUUGAUUGGUCGAACAUUCGUCGAAUGUCUCGAGCAACCAAACAUUGAUAAAGUCAAAUAAGUGCUACAAAUCAAUGACGAGCCAUACUGGAUGGAUCCGAUCAUCCAGUACUUGAGUGAUGGAACUCUACCUGCAGAUCUUUCAGAAGCCAAACGACUUAAAUGGAUGGCAUCACAAUAUAUGAUGAUGAAUGGACAACUUUAUAAAAAGCCAUUCUCUUUUUCUUACUGAAGUGUUUGAGACCAGC